CAACUUCCACCUGGCUUACCUCCUCAGUUGUCUGCCAAGGCUCUAUUGUCUUGGUGGAUUGUGGGUUUCCUGUGUUGCCUACCUAAUUAAUGGCAUUGCGUUGGUUGAUCGUGGUCCCUUUUCUUCUAGUGUCAUAACCAUGACAUUUGAUGAACCCUGAAGUGGUCUCUUUGGUCCACCUUAUCAACAAAAUGUUGAUUUUGUGGUUCAAUGAGCAUCGUUUGGUCUCUUGGAUACAGAACAUUAUGUGAGCAUGGGGUCUCAUGUGUUCUUUGUUUCGCUUUCACUCAGCUGACCGCUUCUCGUAAAAUGAUUGCCUCGCCCAGAAUGUGCACCGUUCCCCUGGGGUGGUAUGAUUUCGGGAAAUGCUCCCUGUUUGAUGCGUUCAUGGUCUAUCAUGUGAUCCCUCUUCUGCUCUCAUUUAGCGUUCGCGCUUCUCUUGAAAUGACGGCCUCACUCGCCAAGGCUUGUACUAGCGGUUGAGGCCAUGUCAAAGAGGAUUGCUACCUGGUUGAUCCUGCCAGUAGUCAUAUGCUUGUCUCAAAGAUUAAGCCAUG
rnacentral:misc_RNA from 1 species